rnacentral:rRNA from 1 species
AUGUACGACUUGUAUGGUGAUUGUCUCAGCUUUGACACAACGUUCAAGACAAACAGAUACAACCUCCCGUUUGCUCCAUUCGUUGGGAUCACAGGUCAUAGUCAGAACUGCUUGUUUGCUUGUUCUAUCAUCCAAAAUGAAUCAACUGACACUUUUAAGUGGUUGUUUGAGACUUUUCUUCACUGCAUGGGAGGCAAAAGUCCAGUGACGAUUAUAACAGAUGAAGAUGCGGGCAUGAAAUCGGCAAUCCCGAUGGUUUUUCCCAACUGUGUUCACAGGCAUUGUCUCUUCCAUAUAAAAAAGAAAGCUGAGGAAAAAUGUCCUAGAACAUUUGCAGCACAUGAAAACCUACAUGCUGAUUUCAGUGACAUCAUACACAACUCGCUGACCGAAGGAGAGUUUGAAAUGUUGUGGCCAGAUAUGAUACAGAGAUAUGGUAUACAAAAAAUCAGCUAUUUCAACAUUAUGUGGAAGAAGAGAAGGAGGUUUGUUCCUGUCUACUUCAAGAAGAAUUUCUUCCCAUUCAUUCAUUCUACUGCAAGAAGUGAAGGGACAAAUGCUAUUUUCAAGGACAACAUAACUUCAACACAUAGUGUGAUAUGCUUCCUGGAAGAAUAUGAGAGGAUAUCUCACAAUAUUCAAGAUAAUGAGAGAGAACAAGACUCCAUAACUAGAACAACAAAGCCAACUUUCUGGUCUCAUAGUGAACUUGAGUAUCAGGCAGCAUCUAUGUACAACCGAAAGAUCUUCUAUAGGUUCCAAAAGCAGCUGCAAUUUGUUGUCAAUUUGCAUGUUGAAGAAGUUGUGAGGAAUGUGAGAUAUGAAGUAUACAAAACAGAAAUGCUGGCUGCAAAGGAUUUCAGGCAAAGGAGAUUUGUUGUCGAUGUGAACAUCCAAAAUCAGGAAUUUAGUUGCAUAUGUGGUAAAUUCUUGAAAGACGGAAUUGUGUGUAGUCAUGUCCUGAGGGUUCUUUCUCAUCUGAACAUGUCAAAACUUCCUGAAAAGUACUACAUCGACAGAUGGAGGCCAAAAGAUACAAAAGACAUACGAGACAGGCGGUUCAAUGUGCCUGCUGAGCUAACUGCUGGGAGUCAACACUUGAGGUACACACUUUUGUCCAACAGGCUCAACGAUAUGGCCUCUGAUGGCGCAUCAACAAAUAGAAAAUAUCUAUAUGUUGUUGGGGAGAGUGAGAGGGUGCAACAGAGAUUGGAUGAGAUGACUAAAGAAGAUGAAGCUGCUGAAGCUGAGAAAACAAGUGUUGGACCAAAGAAUUCAGAAGUUCCACUCACAGGCCCACAUCCAGAUGGUUAUGGGGACAACCUGCAAAAUCCCGAUGUUGCUAUCUCAAAAGGACGUCCACAAUCAGGGCGAUACAAAACCUUCAUGGAAACUUUGCGUGUGAAACCAAAAAUUCACUGUAGCCGAUGUGGUUCUGAAACCCACAACAUAUCUACUUGCACAGUAAUUGCUGAUAAUGUUGCCAAGGCACAGCGACAAAAAAGCACUCAAAACGUGCUUCAGGUUCGAUGA